AUGGCCAUGGCGAGACAGAUGAGCAAGAAGGACCUGGAAGUGGUCCUCACGCAGGCCAUGAUGGCCGCCAAGAACGUGCGGGCGCAGCGCGACCGCCUCCUGGAGCUCCACCGCCGCCUGCAGCGCCACAAGGCGGCCGCCCCCGCCCCCGCCGACGCCGACGCCGACGCCAGGCUCGGGGAGCUCGGCUCGGACGUCAUCAAGGUCUACUACCUCGGCCUGGAAGCCGGCGCCAAGAUGCUCGGGAGCUGCGUCGAGAUCGCCGUGGAGAGCAACGCCAUAGCCGCCAUCAACAUUGCCUUCGCGCUCAUGCCCGACGAGCAGCUCUACGAUGCGCUGCUCGCGCAGCGGCUCCCGCCCCGCCCCACCACCCAGGCCCACGCCUUCGCCCGCCUCGAGGCCGCCCUCCUGGCCGUCAAGAUGCUCGAGGAGCACCACCUCCCGCGCUGCGUCGAGUGCCUCGUCGGCGGCCAGGCCCCCGUCCCCGGCAAGCCCGCGCCUGAUGCCGCCUCCGCCGACGCUGAGGGCCUCGCCAACGCCGACCGCCCGGACGCCGCCGCCAAGAAGAGCAGCAAGCCCCGUCGCGCAGCCAGCGGCGACGUGCACAAGGCGCUCGACUACCUGCGCCGCGCAAACAAGAUCACCAACCUCGCCGUGAAGCACAUCGACCACGCUGUCACCGUCCUCUCCCGCUUCGCCGACCCCGAGGAGGUCGCCCGCCUCACCGAGUUGGCCGACAAGCACGCCUACCUCGGAGUUGAGAUUAGCCAGCCCACUACUUCAGCUGACCCAUCAACAGAUUAG
rnacentral:rRNA from 1 species